rnacentral:rRNA from 1 species
GAUGAACGCUGGCGGUGUGUUUUAGGCAUGCAAGUCGAGCGCGAUCCCUUCGGGGUGAGAGCGGCAGACGGGUGAGUAACGCGUAGGAAUCUACCUUUUGGCGGGGAAUAACUCAGCGAAAGCUGGGCUAAUACCGCAUAAGCCCUCCGGGGGAAAGGACAUAACUGUCCACCGAAAGAGGAGCCUGCGUCUUAUCAGCUUGUUGGUGAGGUAAUAGCUCACCAAGGCAAUGACGAGUAGCCGGUGUGAGAGCACGACCGGCCACAAUGUUACUGAGAUACGGAGCAUACACCUACGGGUGGCAGCAACCGAGAAUCUUGCGCAAUGGGCGAAAGCCUGACGCAGCGACACCGCGUGAAGGAUGAAGGCCUUCGGGUUGUAAACUUCUUUUAUAUAGGAACAUAAUGAGGGUACUGUAUGAAUAAGCACCGGCAAACUACGUGCCAGCAGCAGCGGUAAAACGUAGGGUGCAAGCGUUAUCCGGAAUUAUUGGGCGUAAAGAGUUUCGUAGGCGGUAGAAAAAGUCAUUCGUUAAAGACUCCGGCUCAACUGGAGGAAAGCGAGUGAUACUUUUUUACUAGUACCUAGUCGGGGAUGCUGGAAUGUCUGGUGGAGGGGUGAAAUCCGUUGAGAUCAGAUAGAACACCGAGAGCGAAGGCAGGCAUCUAGGCUAUAGUAGACGCUGAGGUACGAAAGCUAGGGGAGCAAAAGGGAUUAGAGACCCCUGUAGUCCUUGCUGUAAACGAUGUCCGCUAGUUUCUUCGGCUUUAUGCCGGGGGGACGUAAGCUAACGCGUUAAGCGGACCGCCUGGGGAGUACGACCGCAAGGUUAAAACUCAAAGGAAUUGGUGGGGAGGCGCACAACCAGUGGAGCAUGUGGUUUAAUUCGAUACGAAGCGUAGGACCUUACCUGGACUUGACAUCCCGCUUAUGAUUUUUCCGAAAAGAAAAAUCUUAGUGGCGGGACAGCUGCUGCAUGGUUGUUGUCAGCUCGUGUCGUGAGAUGUCCGCUUAAGUGCGGUAACGAGCGCAACCCUCGUUCCGAGUUAAAUUUUCUCGGAAGACUGCUCUGAUUAAAUCAGGGAGGAAGGAGAGGAUGACUUCAAAUCAGUACGGCGCUUACGUCCAGGGCAACACACAUCCUACAAUGGUUAGUACAAUGGGUAGCUAAGUCGUAAGGCGGAGCAAAUCCCUUAAAACUAGCCUCAGUUCAGAUUGUGGGCUGCAACUCGCCCACAUGAAGUUGGAAUUGGUAGUAAUCGCAGGUCAGCAGACUGCGGUGAAUACGUUCUCGCCUCUUGCACACACUGCCCGUCAAGCGAGAAGAGUUGAGAGUGCCCAAAGUUGUUUUCCUAAC